UUGGCUCUCUGGCCUCGAAGUUUUCCAGAAACAACUACCUCGCAGCCCUUGGCUCCACUUUCCAUAAUGAAACGGAGAACACCAUAGCAGGCUCUGGAAAAACAAAAGAAACACGUCUCAACUCCAGCCACAG